rnacentral:misc_RNA from 1 species
GCCCGUCAAUUCCUUUGAGUUUUAAUCUUGCGACCGUACUCCCCAGGCGGUCUACUUCGCGCGUUAGCUGCGUUACUAAGGGAUUUAACUCCCCCAACAACUAGUAGACAUCGUUUAGGGCGUGGACUACCAGGGUAUCUAAUCCUGUUUGCUCCCACGCUUUCGUGCAUGAGCGUCAGUGUCGACCCAGAAGGCUGCCUUCGCCAUCGGUGUUCCUCCACAUCUCUACGCAUUUCACCGCUACACGUGGAAUUCCACCUUCCUCUGCCGCACUCCAGCAUCGUAGUUUCAAGCGCAAUUCCCAGUUGAGCCAGGAGAUUUCACAUCCAACUUACCGAACCGCCUACACGCGCUUUACGCCCAGUGAAUUCGGAUAACGCUCGGAUCCUACGUUUUACCG